rnacentral:rRNA from 1 species
CAGGCUUAACACAUGCAAGUCGAGGGGCAUCAGGAAGAAAGCUUGCUUUCUUUGCUGGCGACCGGCGCACGGGUGAGUAACACGUAUCCAACCUGCCCUUUACUCGGGGAUAGCCUUUCGAAAGAAAGAUUAAUACCCGAUGGCAUAAUGAUUCCGCAUGGUUUCAUUAUUAAAGGAUUCCGGUAAAGGAUGGGGAUGCGUUCCAUUAGGUUGUUGGUGAGGUAACGGCUCACCAAGCCUUCGAUGGAUAGGGGUUCUGAGAGGAAGGUCCCCCACAUUGGAACUGAGACACGGUCCAAACUCCUACGGGAGGCAGCAGUGAGGAAUAUUGGUCAAUGGGCGCUAGCCUGAACCAGCCAAGUAGCGUGAAGGAUGAAGGCUCUAUGGGUCGUAAACUUCUUUUAUAUAAGAAUAAAGUGCAGUAUGUAUACUGUUUUGUAUGUAUUAUAUGAAUAAGGAUCGGCUAACUCCGUGCCAGCAGCCGCGGUAAUACGGAGGAUCCGAGCGUUAUCCGGAUUUAUUGGGUUUAAAGGGAGCGUAGGUGGACUGGUAAGUCAGUUGUGAAAGUUUGCGGCUCAACCGUAAAAUUGCAGUUGAUACUGUCAGUCUUGAGUACAGUAGAGGUGGGCGGAAUUCGUGGUGUAGCGGUGAAAUGCUUAGAUAUCACGAAGAACUCCGAUUGCGAAGGCAGCUCACUGGACUGCAACUGACACUGAUGCUCGAAAGUGUGGGUAUCAAACAGGAUUAGAUACCCUGGUAGUCCACACAGUAAACGAUGAAUACUCGCUGUUUGCGAUAUACAGUAAGCGGCCAAGCGAAAGCAUUAAGUAUUCCACCUGGGGAGUACGCCGGCAACGGUGAAACUCAAAGGAAUUGACGGGGGCCCGCACAAGCGGAGGAACAUGUGGUUUAAUUCGAUGAUACGCGAGGAACCUUACCCGGGCUUAAAUUGCAGUGGAAUGAUGUGGAAACAUGUCAGUGAGCAAUCACCGCUGUGAAGGUGCUGCAUGGUUGUCGUCAGCUCGUGCCGUGAGGUGUCGGCUUAAGUGCCAUAACGAGCGCAACCCUUAUCUUUAGUUACUAACAGGUUAUGCUGAGGACUCUAGAGAGACUGCCGUCGUAAGAUGUGAGGAAGGUGGGGAUGACGUCAAAUCAGCACGGCCCUUACGUCCGGGGCUACACACGUGUUACAAUGGGGGGUACAGAAGGCAGCUAGCGGGUGACCGUAUGCUAAUCCCAAAAGCCUCUCUCAGUUCGGAUCGAAGUCUGCAACCCGACUUCGUGAAGCUGGAUUCGCUAGUAAUCGCGCAUCAGCCACGGCGCGGUGAAUACGUUCCCGGGCCUUGUACACACCGCCCGUCAAGCCAUGGGAGCCGGGGGUACCUGAAGUACGUAACCGCAAGGAUCGUCCUAGGGUAAAACUGGUGACUGGGGCUAAGUCAUAAC